rnacentral:rRNA from 1 species
GACGAACGCUGGCGGCGUGCCUAAUACAUGCAAGUAGAACGCUGAAGAGAGGAGCUUACUCUUCUUGGAUGAGUUGCGAACGGGUGAGUAACGCGUAGGUAACCUGCCUUGUAGCGGGGGAUAACUAUUGGAAACGAUAGCUAAUACCGCAUAACAAUGGAUGACACAUGUCAUUUAUUUGAAAGGGGCAAUUGCUCCACUACAAGAUGGACCUGCGUUGUAUUAGCUAGUAGGUGAGGUAAUGGCUCACCUAGGCGACGAUACAUAGCCGACCUGAGAGGGUGGUCGGCCAGACUGGGACUGAGACACGGCCCAGACUCCUACGGGAGGCAGCAGUAGGGAAUCUUCGGCAAUGGGGGCAACCCUGACCGAGCAACGCCGCGUGAGUGAAGAAGGUUGUCGGAUCGUAAAGCUCUGUUGUAAGUCAAGAACGGGUGUGAGAGUGGAAAGUUCACACUGUGACGGUAGCUUACCAGAAAGGGACGGCUAACUACGUG